rnacentral:rRNA from 1 species
UACGUAGGGUGCGAGCGUUGUCCGGAAUUAUUGGGCGUAAAGCGUGCGCAGGCGGCGCGUUAAGACAGGUGUGAAAAGCCCCGAGCUUAACUUGGGAAUUGCGCUUGUGACUGGCGAGCUGGAGUGUGGCAGAGGGAGGUGGAAUUCCACGUGUAGCAGUGAAAUGCGUAGAGAGUGUGGAGGAACACCGAUGGCGAAGGCAGCCUCCUGGGCCAGCACAUGACGCUCGAUGCACGAAAGCGUGGGAGCAAACAGG